CUGGAGUCAAAGAGGAAGCAUGAUGUUUAACUCCGAGAAUAUGGAGUUCUCUCGCUCUCUCUCUCUCUCUUAUUGAACUACUACUUUUAUCUACUUUUCUACUGAUGAACUUGACAGGAAUGUUAGGUGGAACUUACUGUAUGGAUUUAUACCCUCCAAGGAACUGGAUGGAGGUCUUCCAUGGAAUUCUGUUUUGUUAAAAGCUUCUCUUAUCACUUCAGUUCCAUGAAGUACAACAAUAUUUUGCGAUCCUAAUUUCACACUUCAUAAAAAAAGUAGAAAAGUGAAAACACAAUGAAAUAAUAAAAAAAUGAAAUGAAAAAAUAAAUCAAAUAAAUAAAGGAAAUAUUUUAGAACAUAUUUUGUCCCACACUUGAAAUUUAAAAUUAAGAUAAACAAUACAACAAUCAAUUAUUUUAAAUUGUCUGCUGAUUCUCCAUCUGCAAAAAAAGGUAUUUUAAAAUUAACUAAUGUAAAAUUCAAAAAUUAUUAAUAAUG